UACAGAGGUCUCAAGCGUUGUUCGGAUUCAUUGGGCGUAAAGGGUGUGUAGGUGGCGCGCUAAGUCGGGUGUGAAAUUUCGGAGCUUAACUCCGAAACUGCAUUCGAUACUGGCGUGCUUGAGGACUGGAGAGGAGACUGGAAUUUACGGUGUAGCAGUGAAAUGCGUAGAUAUCGUAAGGAAGACCAGUGGCGAAGGCGGGGUCUCUGGACAGUUCCUGACACUGAGACACGAAAGGCCCAGGGGGAGCAAAACGGGG
rnacentral:rRNA from 1 species